rnacentral:rRNA from 1 species
GGGAAACGACAUCGAAAGCUUGCUUUUGAUGGGCGUCGACCGGCGCACGGGUGAGUAACGCGUAUCCAACCUGCCCACCACUUGGGGAUAACCUUGCGAAAGUAAGACUAAUACCCAAUGAUAUCUCUAGAAGACAUCUGAAAGGGAUUAAAGAUUUAUCGGUGAUGGAUGGGGAUGCGUCUGAUUAGCUUGUUGGCGGGGUAACGGCCCACCAAGGCGACGAUCAGUAGGGGUUCUGAGAGGAAGGUCCCCCACAUUGGAACUGAGACACGGUCCAAACUCCUACGGGAGGCAGCAGUGAGGAAUAUUGGUCAAUGGGCGAGAGCCUGAACCAGCCAAGUAGCGUGCAGGAUGACGGCCCUAUGGGUUGUAAACUGCUUUUAUAAGGGAAUAAAGUGAGCCUCGUGAGGCUUUUUGCAUGUACCUUAUGAAUAAGGACCGGCUAAUUCCGUGCCAGCAGCCGCGGUAAUACGGAAGGUCCGGGCGUUAUCCGGAUUUAUUGGGUUUAAAGGGAGCGUAGGCCGGAGAUUAAGCGUGUUGUGAAAUGUAGACGCUCAACGUCUGCACUGCAGCGCGAACUGGUUUCCUUGAGUACGCACAAAGUGGGCGGAAUUCGUGGUGUAGCGGUGAAAUGCUUAGAUAUCACGAAGAACUCCGAUUGCGAAGGCAGCUCACUGGAGCGCAACUGACGCUGAAGCUCGAAAGUGCGGGUAUCGAACAGGAUUAGAUACCCUGGUAGUCCGCACGGUAAACGAUGGAUGCCCGCUGUUGGUCUGAAUAGGUCAGCGGCCAAGCGAAAGCAUUAAGCAUCCCACCUGGGGAGUACGCCGGCAACGGUGAAACUCAAAGGAAUUGACGG